AUGUGAAGAGCUUGAAGAAGAAGGGCAGAGGAAGCUUUGACCACAGAGUGGAGGGGAAACAACAUCUGUGCAGUAAAAAUGGUACAACAACAGGGCGGUGACACUUGUGUCAUCCUUCGCUGGACCAGAACCUGUUCAGGAGAUUCAACACUGGGACAAAGCCGCCAAAACCUACAUUGACGUUAGAAAGGCUUCCAUUGUGGGCAUCUACAAUAAAUACAUGGGAGGUGUGGAUUUGUUGGACUCAUUUACAGCAAAACACAAGUAUGCACUGAAAUCCUGGCGGUGGUACAUGUACAUCUUCUGGCACACAAUCACCCUUGCUGUAGUCAACGCCUGGCUCCUCUACAAGCAGCACAGCCUAUGCUCUCAGAAUGCCAAAGAAGGAGAUACUGAACAUGAGAAAGUUCGAAGCACAGCUGGCUUCCUCUCUCAUUACGAGGACAGGAACCAUUUCUGGGAUUACCACUAUAAGUAAAGGUGGACUUCACGCUGAGCACACAGAUUUCAGUGGAGAGUGAGAGAACACUGCAGACAUUGCACUGUUAACAAUCUUGAUGGGCACCUCUUCGGACCUGACGUGCUACCCAGCUACGCAAACGCAGCUAAGUGGAUGUACUCUCUUGUGAUUGGCCAGAGUGAUCACGAGUCUACGGAUGUUUGGGUCUCAUUGCUGAAAGAGUGCAUGAAUCGGUGGAAAAACCCCAGCCCCCCUGUGCUGCCAGCUUCUCCAAGC